rnacentral:misc_RNA from 1 species
CAGGAUCUCUAUAAAUCAUAUCAUGAUCCAGAUAAGGGAUUAGUUCAUUCUGGAAUGAUCAGGGAAUUACUAAUAUCUUUCAGAAGAGCUACUGGGUUUAAACCUGGAAGGAUUAUAUUCUACAGAGAUGGUGUUAGUGAGGGCCAAUUUAGCCAGGUCUUGCUACAUGAGAUGGAUGCCAUACGAAAGGCUUGUUCUUCACUUGAGGAGGGAUACCUUCCACGCGUGACCUUUGUUGUGGUGCAGAAGAGACAUCAUACACGACUUUUUCCUGUUGAUCGUGGUCAGGCAGACAGGAGUGGCAAUGUUCUGCCAGGCACUGUUAUUGAUACUAAGAUAUGCCACCCGAAGGAGUUUGAUUUCUACCUGAACAGCCAUGCUGGAAUUCAGGGAACAAGCAGACCUACACACUACCAUGUGUUGUAUGAUGAGAAUCGCUUCACUGCUGAUGGAUUGCAAAUUCUGACUAACAAUCUCUGUUAUACUUAUGCAAGGUGUACUCGAUCUGUUUCCAUAGUCCCUCCUGCCUAUUAUGCCCAUUUAGCUGCUUUUCGGGCUCGAUAUUACAUUGAGGGCGAAACAUCAGAUGGUGGAUCUUCAAGCGGACGGAGUACAACAGCGAGGAGUAGGGAGUUCCAACCUCUUCCUGUGAUCAAAGAUAAUGUGAAAGAUGUUAUGUUUUAUUGCUGAGAUUCCAACGUCCCAUUUUGUGUUCCCUUUUUUUUUUGGCACAGUUUUUGCACAAAUGGCCAUUAGUCGUUGCAGUCUCGGUGCCUACCCUUAACCCAACUGAAUGAAACUGAUACUGUUACCUCUGGGUGUUCUUUUUGGCAAAUGGUAUUCGAGUUUAACUGUUAUUAUUUAUUUAGCUGAGGCUGGUUUUGGUUGUUGGGAUGGUGAGUGAAGCAACAUAGAUGCUUGGAAAAGUGAUUUCAUUUCCUUGUAAAUACUACUUUGCUUAAUGCUCAAUCUCAACAACCAAAACC